CUGUGAGAUCCUGAGGGCAGGGGCUCGUCUGCUCCUGGGCACUCCUGGAAUGCAGCACAGGCUCUGACACAAGACUAAAUGUUCCAGAAGAGUUCUCGAAAAUGACCGCCAUAGGAAGACAUCGUCACAGCCAAACUGAAUGACAGGCUGACUAAAAGAAUGAGAAAAGUUGCUGAGGAAGAUGCUACCAGUCUCUUUUGCCAUGUGACUUUGCAAUUCCUCUUACUAGAGGCCACCUGGUUGAUGCUAGAUGUGGAUGAGAUUUGUUUGGGGCUGAAGUUCCAAGGCUAGACCUGAAGAAGCAUCCAGUGUUUCUGCUCUCCCCUCUUGUCCUUCUGUCCUCACUUGGGAACUCAUGCACAGGGUGGCUAGUGGCCCAUGGAAGACGGGAGUCGUGCAGAGCAGACCUGGGCCAAACCUGAAGCUGAGUGCC